UACAGAGGUCCCAAGCGUUGUUCGGAUUCAUUGGGCGUAAAGGGUGCGCAGGCGGCUUCUCAAGUCAGGGGUGAAAGCCCAGAGCUCAACUCUGGAACUGCCUUUGAGACUGAGAGGCUUGAGUACGGGAGAGGUGAGUGGAAUUCCCAGUGUAGAGGUGAAAUUCGUAGAUAUUGGGAAGAACACCGGUGGCGAAGGCGGCUCACUGGCCCGUAACUGACGCUCAUGCACGACAGCGUGGGGAUCAAACAGG
rnacentral:rRNA from 1 species